UAUGAAACUGUUGCAGCCAUUGUAAUAUUUGUCUCUAGCCUUUGGCCAUUAUGUCCAAAUUACUAAUGACUGUCUAUCAAAAAUCAUGUAUGCAGAUAUCUUAUGAAACCACCAAUAGUCAUCCCUACAAUAGCAUCACAACAUUGAUAUUGAGGUAUUCAGGCAAAAAUAUUUUGACAUUUGAUUUUGCUCAUAUCAUCCAGCCCUACUUUGUAUAGUAGUAGACUUUAUUUCUAUCCAACCUCUAAUCUCAGACUGCUGCAUUUUUCAGGUGCUUCAUUAGGAUCAACCCAGAGAGAGGUACCAAGGCCAGCCGGGGAAAGAUGGUCUCCAAGAGGACAGGGAAAGUUGUUCAGAAGAAGUCUGAAACAGUCAGUCCCCAUGUGUCCAGUCUGCUGAAGAACCUCAUAGACUUCGAGUGGAAUUUCAUAUAGGUCUAGCGGAUGGUCCAAAGUGUUGUUAUUGUCCUCCAUGUCAUUGUUGGCUAGUGGGUUGCGGCUGAUGACCAGCUCGAGUCUGUCCCCGGCCUCUGUGAUCAGAGGCACCGCCAAGCAGCAGUCAAAGUCCCUUGUCCUCACGUGGUUCACCUGGACAGAGAGACACAGUCAGUGACCGUUCAAGUAAAAGGUACCGCUGUUUGGUUCGUUAGCUACCCGCUUUGUAUAACGAUUUGAGGACCACUAGUGUUUCAACUGCAGUAUACAGGAUAAUGGACAUGUAGUAGCUAGCUAGUUCAUCUUUCCUGAUGACACUAUGCUUUCUUGUUUUAAGGGCUUUUUUCCAUCAAUCUGGUCUUAAACAGCUGGGUACACCUUAGGAUCCUGUCGUAGGGUUUGAGCCCUGCUCGGUCGGCUGGCCCAUCAGGUCUGAUCAUGUUGACGUAAACGCCUUUCUCCAAGAAGCCAUCUGACACACUGAAGCCAAAGUCAUCGAUCUCUGGGUCCUUUAUCACUGUUACCUGCAGAGGACAGCACAUGGAUGUGGGCCUCCUCGUGCAGAUGGGCGCCCUGGUGGAGGUGUGUCGCCUGGUGGAGCAGGUUUCCCUGGUGCAGGAGAGAAUUUCUCCGCAACGGGCUCAUUCUGCUGUGACUCAGAAUGGGCUCAGCUGGAGG